CUCAGAUGGGCUGUUUGGAGUCUAGAGGUGCCUGGGCUCCAGAAAGUGUCCAGUUCCCAACUGAGGAAUUGCCCAGUGUGACAUGGGCAUCGAGGUAGCUCUGAAUUAUCUUCACAGGAGGUAACUGUGGGAGCACAUCAAGGAGCAGAGGGCUCAGUGCAGGACCUCGUGUCCAUGUCCUGCACCAUCCCCACGCCAGGACAAACCCACACUGAGCCCCAGGACCUCAUGCCUUCCACCCCCAGACAAGAAGCAUCAGUCUGGCUCUAGAGGAGAUGCUGUUGCUGCUUUUUCAAGCUGGACCUGAAAGAUCACUGCAAACCAAGGCUCAACCUCCACUCCAGGCUCCCAGAACGAGACAUCCCACGGAAGCAUCAGUAAGGUGACAGUGGGAUUCACUGGAAUCUUCC
rnacentral:lncRNA from 1 species